GAGAGAGAGAGAAGAAAAGACCCCCUAUGAUGUUGCUUCCACAAAACUUGCACUGAGAAAGCGGGUUGGGCCCAGCGUUCAGCUGGAGUCUCGGUCUCUCCCUGCUCAUGAGGCUUGAGGCUGAGCUUUUUCCACAUUCAUCUCAGAGCUGCUGCAGCAUGACAGGCCGCGGGACUCCGGGCCUCGGUGAGAAGUGACCCACCGCUGGUGAGAACUAGUCAGCAGACAACAUGAUUCGGAGGAAGUGAGUGAUCUUUACCUGUCAGGUGAGUGGCUGUGAUGAUCAAGGAAACCCCUGCAUGGAGCAUGAAGCCCUCUCAGCCUGAGUUUGACCUUUCUUGGUGUGUUUUGUAGAGCUUCGAGAGGUGUGCCUAGAUCUCCAGGACUUGCCAUCCUGCUGGGAGAGAAGAUUCCCAGACAUCAUCAGUCAGCAGGCAGUCAAUCCAGGCUGUGGCCGGUGGCAGGAGGACAAGGCACUGCAGGAGGGAGAAAGACGCUGGGUGUGAGAUUCUUCUAGAAGAUCCCUGUGUGAAGCCCUAACCGCUAAUGGGACUGCAUUUGGAGACAGUGCCAACGGGAGAUGCUGAAGGUUAAAUGAGGCCGUAAGGGUGGGUCUUUGGUCUGAAAGGACUGGUGUCCAAAGAAGACGAGGAAGAGACGCCAGAGCUCUCUCUCCGCCUCGACACAGCACAAACGCCACCUGUGGCCAGAAGAGAGCCCUCCCUGGAAACCGGAUCUGC